GGGCUCCCAGUGCUUACCACAGGCUGUGUUCUAACACUGUGCAGAAAGAAGAGGCAGAGUAAAUCCAUCUCAUAUACACCUUAGCCCAAGCCCUUCACCUGGUCUGCAUUGUGAGUAGGGAGACAUGG